CCUACGGGUGGCAGCAGUGAGGAAUAUUGGUCAAUGGGCUGAAGCCUUAACCAGCCAAGUAGCGUGCAGGAUGACUGCCCUACGGGUUGUAAACUGCUUUUAUACGGGAAUAACGCGCCUUACGUGUAGGGCUUUGCAUGUACCGUAUGAAUAAGGCCCGGCUAAUUCCGUGCCAGCAGCCGCGGUAAUACGGAAGGUCCGGGCGUUAUCCGGAUUUAUGGGGUUUAAAGGGAGCUUAAGCCGCAUGUCAAGCGUGCUGUGAAAUGUCCGGGAUCAACCCGGGCCUUGCAGCGCGAACUGGCGUGCUUGAGUCCGCGGAAAGCAGGCGGAAGUCGUCGUGUAGCGGUGAAAUGCUUAGAUAUGACGAAGAACCCCGAUUGUGAAGGCAGCUUGCUGCAGCGGAACUGACGCUGAUGCUCGAAAGCGCGGGUAUCGAACAGGAUUAGAUACCCCUGUAGUC
rnacentral:rRNA from 1 species